rnacentral:misc_RNA from 1 species
UCCGGUUUGUCACCGGCAGUCUCAUUAGAGUGCUCAACUUAAUGUAGCAACUAAUGACAAGGGUUGCGCUCGUUGCGGGACUUAACCCAACAUCUCACGACACGAGCUGACGACAGCCAUGCAGCACCUGUGUUCUGGUUCUCUUUCGAGCACAUCCAACUUUCAUCGGACUUCCAGACAUGUCAAGGGUAGGUAAGGUUUUUCGCGUUGCAUCGAAUUAAUCCACAUCAUCCACCGCUUGUGCGGGUCCCCGUCAAUUCCUUUGAGUUUUAAUCUUGCGACCGUACUCCCCAGGCGGUCAACUUCACGCGUUAGCUGCGUUACCAAGUCAAUUAAGACCCGACAACUAGUUGACAUCGUUUAGGGCGUGGACUAC